AGUGAGCGCUGGCGGUAGGCCUAACACAUGCAAGUCGAACGGCAGCACAGUAAGAGCUUGCUCUUACGGGUGGCGAGUGGCGGACGGGUGAGGAAUACAUCGGAAUCUACUUUUUCGUGGGGGAUCACGUAGGGAAACUUACGCUAAUACCGCAUACGACCUACGGGUGAAAGCAGGGGAUCUUCGGACCUUGCGCGAUUGAAUGAGCCGAUGUCGGAUUAGCUAGUUGGCGGGGUAAAGGCCCACCAAGGCGACGAUCCGUAGCUGGUCUGAGAGGAUGAUCAGCCACACUGGAACUGAGACACGGUCCAGACUCCUACGGGAGGCAGCAGUGGGGAAUAUUGGACAAUGGGCGCAAGCCUGAUCCAGCCAUACCGCGUGGGCGAAGAAGGCCUUCGGGUUGUAAAGCCCUUUUGUUGGGAAAGAAAAGCAGCAGGUUAAUACCCCGCUGUUCUGACGGUACCCAAAGAAUAGGCACCGGCUAACUUCGUG
rnacentral:rRNA from 1 species